UGUAGGGAAAGUAUGCUAUUCUAAAGUAAAGCUAGGUUCCACCGAGAAAAAGUAGAGCUAAGAAGUAUAUUUUUAUAAUUCCUAUGUUGGCUUUUGCAUAUAUUGAAAAGAUUUGCCUUUGCACCAUUGCCUCCUCAUCUUUCUUUUCUUUCUUUCUUUCUUUAUUCUUUUUUCUUUUCUGUUUUUCUGAAAGGAAGGGGAGAAAGGUGAGGAAGGC
rnacentral:lncRNA from 1 species